rnacentral:rRNA from 1 species
AUUGAACGCUGGCGGCAUGGCUAAAACAUGCAAGUCGAACGGGCCCGCAAGGGUCAGUGGCGAAAGGGUCAGUAACGCGAUCGAACGUACCCCGAGGUGGGGAGUAGGCACGGGAAACUGUGCAUAAUACCUCAUGAUGUCGAGAGACCAAAGGCCACCCUUAAAAGUAGGGCGCCUUGGGAGCGGCGAUCGUCCUAUCAGGUAGUUGGCGGGGUAACGGCCCACCAAGCCGAAGACGGGUAGCGGGNGUGAGAGCACGGCCCGCGACAUCGGAACUGAGACACUGUCCGGACUCCUACGGGAGGCUGCAGUAACGAAUCUUCCGCAAUGGGCGAAAGCCUGACGGAGCAAUGCCGCGUGCGGGAUGAAGCGCCUACGGCGUGUAAACCGACUGUCAGGGGGUGGAACCAAUGAUUACCCCAGAGGAAGUGCGACUAACUCUGUGCCAGCAGCCGCAGUAAC